rnacentral:miRNA from 1 species
ACAUGGGCUACAAGAGCUUGCAUUCUGUAGGGAUAUAUAUAUAUAUAUAUAUAUAUAUAUAUAUCCCUACAGAAUGCAAGCUCUUGUAGCCCAUGUC